GCCAGUGUGGCAUAGUGGGUUGAGUGUUGAACUAUGACUCUGGAGACCAGGGUUUGAAUCCCAGCUUGGCCA